CGCUCUCUCUCCCUCUUCAAACCCUCAUCGUAAUCUGAGAAACCCUUCUUCUCACUUUCACUCGCUCAAAUCUGAGAAACACCAGUGUAUGAAUCUCGCUCGCUCGCUCUCUCGCUCUCUCUAAACCCUUAAAGUGAUUUCGAUAUCGAAGUUCGGUGAUCCAAUCUCAGAGUGAUUUCGAUUUCGUAGAGCAGAAUCGAUUUCAAUAUCGAUUUGGAAGAUACGAUUCAACCUUCUUCAGCUCGGUGAUUUCGAUUUAGAAGUUCUCUCUCUCUCUCUCUCUCUCUCUCGAUUUCGAAGCUCCACCACCACCACCACCACCAUCUGCAUCGUUUACUAAGGAAAAUGGGUAUCAUUUACUUUUUCUAAGCGCACGUGCUAUCUCACAGGCCUAUCACACUAGAGAAUUCCUAUUCAACCUUAAGCAGGAUGGAAAAGCUUUACCAGAAGGGCCUGUUGUUAUUUCCCCUGACGGAC